CCAUGCCACCCUGUCCCUUAGAUAGGGAGGUGAACUGCAGAGAUUGGUGCUAGGAAAGUGUGGGUUUGGGAAUUGGAGAUCCUCCAAGGAUCAGCUGUGAGAUUGAGAGCUACAGCUGUAGCGGCUGCCAGUUGCGAGAUUAAGUGCCAUCGCUAAUUUAAAAGUCCUCGCCAUCCGGAAGCAGGCUUUGUCAACAGCAGCUGAGGAAAGCAGCCGGUGCCUCUGCUGGCCAGGCCCAGGCCCUCAUCAGAACGUGCGUCUCCCCAGCGCACUCAGGCCUCGGUGCUUGCUGCGCCCCUGGCCUUGGUGUUUCCUCUUUGCCGCACUUGGCCUGCCUCCCCCAAGCCCUGAGCCACUGCCUGCUGGGGCUCCUACUGAGGGUCUGGCAACACAUCUGCACCUGCCACUCCUGGGAAGAGAGAGGGCCACAAGGGAAGUGUCCACAGGGAGAGGUGACACUUGCCAGCCUGAGUUCAGGAGAGAUGCUCAGAGCUUCAGGUGGAGAGGCCUUCAGAGGAAGGAAACCGGGCAGUGUGUCAUAGGCAGGCAGGGGCAGGACUGCUGCCCCCCGCCCCACAGGAGUCCUGCUGAGGGCACAGAGCUUCACAGUGCAGCCUUCAUGCUUUGAUCUGGAAAGAGCAGCUGUCCACAGGCCUCUGUCUCUAAGAGGAGGACCUCUGGAAACACAUCCACAUGUGCAGUCUCCCCGCCAAGCUAUUAGUGCUGUUUGUGGAAUCUCAAACACAAGUGCCAGGUGUGUGUCAUCCCAGCAGGUCCUGUGCUGUGAAUAGAUCCAUGUGCAGCACAAAGGGAAUGUGGCAAGUGGCCCCAGGAAGAGGUCACCUGGCCACGGGGCAGUUGUUCAGUUGCCUGGGGCUGACACUGACCACUGGCCUUUGGGGUGUCCUGCAGCCUGCCUGCACACCUUGCCCUCCUCACAUCUCAGUCAGCGGAGGCCCUGCCCAAGCCAGUGUGCUGUCAGAGCCUGCAAUGGGGGUGGCACUUCCUCUGAGGGGCUGGGAGGUGCUGGGAAUGCCCCAGCGCUUCUCUUCCUGCCUGGCCCUGCCAUGGCCCAGUGCCUCCAGGAUCAACUUACCAUCCGUGGAGCAGCCCCGAGAAACCUAAAACUGCCUCAGGACAGUGGGGGCAGGGGGGCUGCAAAUCAUCCCAGGCUAAAUCUCCAUGGGCACUGGGUCCUGCCGCAGUCUGGCCAUGGCCUCAGUUAGAACCAGUUAGAAAGUCAUCAACACCCCACAGAAGGCCACUGUGGCUAAGUAAGCACCUAAGAAAGAAACUGUCCCAGAAGAGAUGAUGUGGGCUUCCAGGAGCACGGAGAAGGUGGCACUUGAACUUUUAGGAAACUCCCUAGACGAGAUAAAGUAGCGGUUGGAGGUGGUGGGAAGAGGGUAACCCUGUGAAAGUAAAUGUCAGAACACAUGGCAGAAGCAUGUGGGAGAGGCAGGGGAAGGGCUUUGGGGACCGCUAUGGACGGAGCUCUGAAAGCACCCUGCCCAAAGCCUCUGCUGGGGUGACAGAGCAUGGGAGGAGGCUGCAGGGGCACUGGGCCUGCGUGCCAUCCUCACCCCUGUUCCCCACUGGCACCAGGCCCUGCCUUCUUGGCACGUGUGCCCUCACCAGCCAAUCUUU